rnacentral:lncRNA from 1 species
UGACGGAGGUUGGCGUGUGUCGGAGGACCGGGCGGCCGGGGGAGACGGCGGCUGGAGGAGCCGGGCGGGAUGUUGCUCCCUUCCCUGCGGCUCCGCGCCUCGUCUCCCAGGAUGAUGAUAGGAGGAGCUCGGAGAGGAGCCCCCCGCGGGACCCUCCAGAACCGGCCCGGGUUCGGAGAGGAGCAGGACGGGGAGCAGAGGAGCCGCUCGGCGGCUUACGGGACGGACGGGACAGCGACGGCGUCUCCCCGAGCGGCCGCGGGGAAAUCUCCUCGGAGGCUGCGGGCCGGGUUUGGCCUCAAUCCAAAAGGGAAAGGGGAAGGCUGUUGCUCUCGGGCCGCUCUGUGCCGAGGAAAGGAGGCUGUUUGCUCCUCAAAUAAGCCGUCUCCUCUGGGAACCGCAACGCUCUCGAGUUGCACCGGAUCGGAGCAGGAACGUACAGCGGAGACCCGUUUUUGGCAAAUUCUCGGCAGUCGUUUUAAGCUGUGUCUAAAUCGUGAAAAGGGACAUGGCCCCAUGCUGACCCCGUUUCCAGGUCAGCAAUUCCCCGCGGCCCAAGAGCGCGACGAGCCGGGAGCCCCCGAGGUUUGAGACCUCCUGAGUGACGGGUCCGUACCCUCGGAUCCGGGCACGGGCCUGAUUCUGCGACGUAGCGACGCUCCCUGUCCUCCGGCACGCGCGAUCCAGCUUUUGUGGCUUUGUUGUUAAGGAACUAGCCGGGGGCGUCUUGUCUUGUGCCACUUGGGUUUGGACCCAGCAGACCAUGAAGCGAGCGCUUUAUUUAAUCUAUUUAUUCUAUUUAUUCAGUGGGAGCCCAGCUGGGGAUUUAGGAAGUCGGCUUUGGCCAACGUGACAGCCCGGGAUGCGCUGCAGGGGUUUCCUGGCGGGCAUUGGGAGUACAGUUUUGGGGUAGGGUUCCCGUUUCUAGGUGGUGUAGCCCCACGGGUUGACCACCCCAGGCGGCUGCCAGCACGCGAAUGCUUCGGGGUUGCACGGGAAGACCAAACUCGAUGGACCCCAUCGCGUUUCUUGCUGGUGGGCCGUAUCUGUGCCCAGUGAUCUCUUGGCUUGCAGUGGAAACCCACCAGUGAUGGAGAGGAGACGGGACCUGAGGCUGAAAAAGUCCUCCAGCCAAGCUGGAGGAAGCCAGACGUUCCCACGGCAAAGCCACGCAGCGAUAACCUCCGUCGUGCCCUAUCUCGGAGACAGGAGCAGAGUGCAGGUCUGGGGUUUUCCCUGAGGUUUUCGGUUUCCCGCGGGUCUCCUUUCCAGCUCCCGGCAGCGAGGAGCUCUUUCUGUGCGGGGCGGCAGAGACGGAGCUUGGUUCGCGAGCCCAAUCUCUCCGCUGGUCCAGCUGGGGUUUUGGGAGCGGCGUGGACUUCGUUGCUGUCGUGGCUGUCUGAUCCAUCUCUGUUCAAGAUAAGCAGGAACUGUGUUUGUAUUGUGAAUAAAAUAGCCUAGCGAAAAGCCUCCUGGGUGUGG